UACAGAGGUCCCAAGCGUUGUUCGGAUUCAUUGGGCGUAAAGGGCGCGUAGGUGGCGCCGCAAGUCAACGGUGAAAGCUCGACGCUUAACGUCGAGUCGGCCGUCGAGACUGCGGGGCUCGAGCACUGUAGAGGCUCAUGGAAUUCCGGGUGUAGCGGUGGAAUGCGUAGAGAUCCGGAAGAACACCGGUGGCGAAGGCGGUGAGCUGGGCAGUUGCUGACACUGAGGCGCGACAGCGUGGGGAGCAAACAGGG
rnacentral:rRNA from 1 species